rnacentral:lncRNA from 1 species
ACAAUUCCCACCAUAUUCUCCCUCAUUAAGCUUUGAAAUGCUUUUUAUAUACCCUAUUUCCUCGUUGUUUCCUCACAACUAAACCAUACUUCAUUUGUGCUCCAUCUAGACUUUGCGGAGGUGACCGGCGACCACACCCAAAAGCCAACCCAAAAAAUCCGAUCCUAUACCUAUCGAUCCUCCUGUUUCCAACUACCACUAACCCAAAGCAAACCCAAAGCAUCUAGCAGCGACUAUGCCAAUGUCGUUUCCCGUUUCUUCUAUGACCACCGAGGCGUCAGAGGUUCAUAUGGUUACGAUCUUCGGUAAUAUACGGAUGAAUAGGAAUUCAUUACCUUUAUACAGUGGGCAUGAAUCUUGAUAAUUCCGGUCUUGUACCUGGGAUAAAGGUGAAACUUGGGUUUUGGGGUGAGUCACACUAACGAUUAGCCUUUUGGUUGCUUGCAUCUUGCCGCUUCAGGGUUCCUAGUUUUUCAUCCUGACCGGAUGCGAGUGUUACGAUUUUUCAUUAGUUAAUAGACUUUGAUACGUAAUUUUAAUUUGGUAUGUAUAUUUGUGCUUUUAAACUCGUAAUUAUUUGACAUUAGCUAUGGUAGUACAUAUUUGGUAUGUUUAAUGGUUCGUUUAUACUAGUCUAAUACCUU